AGACAGGUGCUGCAUGGCUGUCGUCAGCUCGUGUUGUGAAAUGUUGGGUUAAGUCCCGCAACGAGCGCAACCCUUAUCCUUUGUUGCCAGCGAUUCGGUCGGGAACUCAAAGGAGACUGCCGGUGAUAAACCGGAGGAAGGUGGGGAUGACGUCAAGUCAUCAUGGCCCUUACGAGUAGGGCUACACACGUGCUACAAUGGCGCAUACAAAGAGAAGCGACCUCGCGAGAGCAAGCGGACCUCACAAAGUGCGUCGUAGUCCGGAUCGGAGUCUGCAACUCGACUCCGUGAAGUCGGAAUCGCUAGUAAUCGUGGAUCAGAAUGCCACGGUGAAUACGUUCCCCAACGUAGUACACUCCUCCCAACGUAACCAAGUCGAACAAGGUAACCAAGU
rnacentral:rRNA from 1 species